AUUGAACGCUGGCGGCAGGCCUAACACAUGCAAGUCGAGCGAGCGGCGGACGGGUGCGUACUGUAUGGGGACUGCCCGUUACAUGGGGAUAACUACUGGAAACGGUAGCUAAUACCGCCUCCCAUCCGAUAACCCUUAUGGGAUUAGCUAGUCGGUGAGGUAAUGGAUCACCUAGUCGACGAUCCCCAGCUGGUCUGAGAGGAUGAUCAGCCACACUGGGACUGAGAAACGGCCCAGACGCCUACGGAGGCAGCAGUGGGGAAUAUUGCACAAUGGGCGCAAGCCUGAUGCAGCCAUGCCGCGUGUAUGAAGAAGGCACUAGGGUUGUAAAGUACUUUCAGUCGGGAGGCGUUACCGACAGAAGAAGCACCGGCUAACUCCGUGCCAGCAGCCGCGGUAAUAC
rnacentral:rRNA from 1 species